GAAACGCCCGGUUACAUUCCGAACCCGGAAGCUAAGACCACCUGCGCCGAUGGUACUGCAGGGGGGACCCUGUGGGAGAGUAGGACACCGC
rnacentral:rRNA from 1 species